GCAAACUUGGUCAUUUAGAGGAAGUAAAAGUCGUAACAAGGUCUCCGUAGGUGAACCUGCGGAGGGAUCAUUACCGAAAGGCCUGUGCCUUCGAAACCCCAUCAAACCUGUGGACAGAGAAAGUGCUUCGGCGUCUCCGGCUCUUGCCGAGGGACGCCGCAUCCAUGCCGACGAAUGUGUGUCCGUCUGAUCUGAAACCAUGAGAAUCUAAAACUUUCAACAAAGGAUCUCUUGGCUCUCGCAUCGAUGAAGAACGCAGC
rnacentral:misc_RNA from 1 species